GACGAACGCUGGCGGCGUGCUUAACACAUGCAAGUCGAACGGAAAGGCGCUGCUUUUGUGGGGUGCUCGAGUGGCGAAGGGGUGAGUAACACGUGAGUAACAUGCCCUUGACUUUGGGAUAACUUCAGGAAACUGGGGCUAAUACCGGAUAGGAGCUCUUGCUGCAUGGUGGGGGUUGGAAAGAUUCGGCGGUUGGGGAUGGUUUCGCGGCUUAUCAGCUUGUUGGUGGGGUAGUGGCGGACCAAGGGUUGGAAGGGUAGCCGGCCUGAGAGGGUGACCGGCCACAUUGGGACUGCGAUACGGACCAGAAUCCUACGUUAGGCAGCAGUGGGAAGUAUUGCGCAAUGGGCGGAAGCCUGAUGCAGCAACGCCGCGUGCGGGAUGACGGCUUUCUGGGUAUAAACCGCUUUCGCCUGUGACGAAGCGGUAGUGACGGUAAUGGGUAAAAAAGCACCGGCUAACUACGUG
rnacentral:rRNA from 1 species